ACUCCUACGGGAGGCAGCAGUGGGGAAUAUUGCACAAUGGGCGCAAGCCUGAUGCAGCCAUGCCGCGUGUAUGAAGAAGGCCUUCGGGUUGUAAAGUACUUUCAGCGGGGAGGAAGGCGAUAAGGUUAAUAACCUUGUUGAUUGACGUUACCCGCAGAAGAAGCACCGGCUAACUCCGUGCCAGCAGCCGCGGUAAUACGGAGGGUGCAAGCGUUAAUCGGAAUUACUGGGCGUAAAGCGCACGCAGGCGGUCUGUCAAGUCGGAUGUGAAAUCCCCGGGCUCAACCUGGGAACUGCAUUCGAAACUGGCAGGCUAGAGUCUUGUAGAGGGGGGUAGAAUUCCAGGUGUAGCGGUGAAAUGCGUAGAGAUCUGGAGGAAUACCGGUGGCGAAGGCGGCCCCCUGGACAAAGACUGACGCUCAGGUGCGAAAGCGUGGGGAGCAAACAGGAGUAGAUACCCCGGUAGUCCCAUG
rnacentral:rRNA from 1 species